rnacentral:lncRNA from 1 species
CUUUUCCAGAAGGAAACAAGGGACAAGCUUGACCAGAAUCUUCCCUCCUCCUUUCCUCCUGCCCCAAAUGUGAACAAGAAGCUGGCAGAACUUGCAGCUGCCCUCUUAAAACCAGAAGGGAAAAUCGAAAACAAAACAAAGCCCGAGAAGAUCUUAGCAAUUAAAUCGAAUGACUGAACCCACAUCAGACCACCUACUUCCAGAAACUGGUGAAGGAACCGGGUUCUGUGUACAGAUUGACAUCGGGGGGGAAGAGAAAUUGCACAACCAGAAGGAACAGAGAAGGUCCCCCUGGCAUCUGAAUGGCAUGUGGAAUUUCCCUAAAGAAGUUCUCCUUGAUGAUAUGUGACACAGAAUCUAAGUUUGCUGUAAAUACGGAUCUUCUUCCGUCCCGACACCCCUGCAUGCUGUUCUUCACAGACGGUUCUGGAAAAGAAGGCUACUCUUCUUGCAAUUGCUCGGAACAUAAAAAUUCUCUAUCUAGGCCUUGAAUUAUCACCUUGUCCUUUUCUAAAAACAAAAGUGCACUCAGUGCGCAAUGCAUAUCUCUAAAGGAAAAUAAAUGAAUUUCAUUCAGAUGUUUGUGAAACCA